rnacentral:lncRNA from 1 species
UUGGCUGACUGCAUUUCUCAGUGUUAAUCACAUAUUUGCUUUUAACAUCUCUUGUAUUGUCGCCUUUGUUGUUACUUAACUCUUAUUGCUUGCUUUUUUGUUGUUGUUGUUAUACAUACUUUGUCAGGAGGAUGGUGAUAGAAUUCUUUGGAGUUCCUCCUGUAACUAGCUCCCUGCCUUUCUUAUAUGUACUCAAGAGUGUUUUGCUUGAGAUUCAUAGUGCCAUAAAUUUUGAAAGCACUGUGUAGUCUAUAAACCUUGGGGGGUUUUCCUAGAGGUAAUUUUUCCCUUACUUGUGCAGUUAGUUGUUUAUUGUGGACUUUAACAAUUAAUAAUGACAAAUUAAAAUAAUAGUUUAAGAUAUGAUUUUAUCCAUAUUCUUUUGAUAAUUUGCAAAUUGGGCUCCCUCGAGCACUCAGGACCUGCCUCUACUACCACCCACUCAUCACCCUGCACUGCUCUCAUCUCUGUGUCCUCCACUGGGAAGUUAGCUCUGCAAGGAUAGCGGCAGUGUUUUUUGAUAUUGGUGCCGCAACACCUAGCACAAUGCCUGUUUCCAAGUGUUUAUGGGAAUUGACCUCCUUUUAAAGUAUCCUAAGUUUCCUAAAAGAUGGUUGAUGCCUACCUGAGUUGAACAGGGUGGGCAAGUUCAAUAUUUCCAAAUGCUCAGGAAAAAAAUCAAGUAUUUGUGAACAGCUCUACCACAGAGGCAAGGCGUGGAAAGGUUUUUGAAAAUUAUUAAUAGGAGCCAGUGGGAAAAUGUGAGACAAUACUUACUAUUUUUGUCAGCCUGAGAGCAGAUCUGAAGUCUAAGGUGAAGUCAGUUUUUAAUUGUUUCUAUUUAAUGAUAGUUAAAUGUUCACAACUUAUUUUGUUUUAGAUUUGUGACUUGAAGAUACUUCAUUAUCUUUAUUUGGUAAGUUAGUGAUUACUCCAAAUUUGACUGACUUGGCUACAUGUUAAAGAUAUUUGUGGAGUUUUAACCCAACAUAUUUUGUUUGUUUGAAUAUGAUAAAGGAAUGAGACCAAUAUCCUUGAUUCAGUUUAAGGAGGGAUUAAUAUCAUGAUAUGUGUGAUGGCUUUACCGUAUUUUUAAAUCAGUUUAGACAUUUUUAAGUACCCUUUUGACUCCUUCUUAAAAUUAGUUCUAUUUUAUGGUAUCACAUAGUGUAUAAGAACAAUAAGUCAAACAAUAUUUACAAAUUUUCUGAUUUGUUUAUGCAUUAUAAUAAAAGGAAAGAAAAAGAAAGAGUUAAUGAGUAAAUUCAGGACAUAUGUGAUAGAAAUCAGACUCACCCAUGGGACAGUUUAGUGACAAAAUCUAGAAUAGUAAGCAUUAACUGCUAGAAAAUAACAGAGAAGAACUAAAUUAUUAUAUUAUGAAUGGGGAACCAAGACCAGUGAAAUUCAUUUUUGAAACUACUUUAGCCAAAAAGGUGCGAAAGAUCUUUUUUGAAAAAGAAAAAAAAAUAGUAUUGGAAAAAUUGUACAUGCAGUUUUUUAUGCCCACUAGAAAUUUAAAAAUAAUUUAUAGAUAUAUUUGGAUAAGAAAAAAAAAUGAAGCUUCCCACUUCCCAAUGGAAAAAACAUUUAGGACAAACCAUGCAUCAGCAAAAUCUUUUCUCAGAAUCUUUCUGUAUUCUUAUUCUUUCUUUCUCCAUUUUCACAUCUGUAACCAAAGCACAGAAAUACUUAAAUGUUCUUAGCUUAUUUUGUUCUUAGUUAAAUUAGUGUUAGCAUUUGUUAAUCUGAUACCCACUCUAGUGUUUUCUCUCAUUUAAAUCUUGCUCUUUUGCAAAUGGGAAGAUCAAUUGGGAGAUAUGGCUUCUUUAUAGAAUGAAGGACACUUCAGCUUGUUUCCAAAGAUGGGCAGCUCAGAACUGAUAAAAGAAGGCUUGGUUGGAGGUAAUGAAAGGACUGAGUGGUCUAGAUUUGGUUGUGCAGGAAGAUCUGAGAAGGGAAAGUUGCAGAGAUUUCUUCGUCAGUAGACGGGGGGAAGGCUUGGGUAGUUGCAUUCGUUAGAGUUUAGUCACAGAAGCGGAACUGCUACGGUGUUAUGGAAUUAAGCGUUUAUGAAAGGAGGAAGGCCUUACAGAGUUGUGGGGGAAACUCAGAAAUCAGAGUCUGUAAGGGGCAGUUGGGAGAUCAGAGAAGUCCCUAAUCAGCCUCCCUGAAGCUGGGGUGUAGUAGGCAAGUCAGAGAAGGUGAAUUGCCUCUGAGGAGCGGGUGAAUCUGAGGAACCAGUUAUGCCCAGCUGCUGGAGUGGGACCACGCAGUAGAGCUGGUGGAAAGUGUAUGGAAAGCUGCUACCUCUUCUGUGGUCUUCAUUCGAGCUUUUGGUGGUAGACCUGAGGUUGCUGUUUGGUUGGCAGGGUUGGCAAUCAGGAAGAAGAGCUACACACAGUAUGGGGGAGAGCAGAGACAUGGUGAAAUCCUCUGGCAUCUUCAGUUUGACUAACUCUAACCUGAAAUCAUAUGGGAAGAGGAUUCUGGGAAUUGUAGUUUGAGCUUAGCCCAGCUGCGCUUAACCUAGCUGCCAAAGCAGGUGAGAGUGGGAGUGGGGAACUAAGUGGGGAUGUGAUAGUGUGGGAGUCCACAGUGGUAUUUUAUAAAUCUAGGUUCAUUUUACUGUGAGAGAGCAAGUUCUUUACAUUCUACGAGCCUUUUUCUUCCUCUGUGAAAUGGGAGAUAAUCUUUACUUUAUGUGAUUAUUGUAAGGAUUAAGGGAAAUGUUUGCAAAGCAUUUAGCAGAGUGUCAGCACAAUGCAAACUAUUAUAAAGAGUAGCUUCUAUUAAUAGUAGUAGUUGUGGUAGUGAUAGAAGGGAUUGAGAAAUAUUUCGAAAUGAGAGGGGAGGAGUAGAGAAGAUGAAUGGGAGUAAGAAUGACAUGGAAGACAUAGUUCUUAUAUUUGAGAAUGUUAUAUUCUGGUGACAGAGAACACAUGUAAACAUAUAGAAUGUUUAGGAAGCUGUUAAGUAGGGCAGUAUCCUUUAAGAAAAUAACUGCUGUGCUGAGUGUAGAGACCGCAAGUGCUGUCAUUCCAGUGUAGUUAAGGUUAAGUGGUAGUGUAUGUGAAAUUCCUGGUACACUGAGAGUCCACAGAGGUUAAUUAUUUUCCACUUCGUUUCAUUUAUAGAAGGAAGGAUGGCCAGGUGAGGGGGAUGGGAAGGCUUAAGCUGGGUCCUUCAAAGAUGGUUUAGACAAGUAGAAAAGCGGAAGGAAGCAUUUCAGACAAUAGUAGGAGGCAUCAACAAGGCAUGUGGUGCUUCAUGAACACAACUGUAUACCUGUUGACUCCUGCUCUUUGCUUUUGUAAUCUAUUUGUAGUUUCUAAAGAUUGUGUUUGUUCCUGCUUGGACUGGUUGCCCACCUCUGGACUAUCAUUUAUGGUGUGGGACAACACUGAGCUAAUUUGAUAUCAGUUAGUAAUUAAGUGGGUGGUUGGAGGUGUGGUGGUAGAAGAGACAAGUUUCCAGAAGAAGGCCACUAUGGAUGAAUCACUCCUUUUGUUAUAGUCGUUCAGUAUUAUAAUUCUACCUUGUUCUUUUCAGGACAUUAUUAAGCAUUUUAUUCUUUUUAUACAAUUCGUAUUUAUUUAACUUCACCACGUUUACCAAUUUCUUGUUAGCUUUUGUUCUGAAAUCACGUUCCUUCUUCAUGAAGUAUAUCCUUCAGAAGUUCCUUGACUAAAGGUCUGUUGGUGGUAAAUUAGGAUUUUUGUUUGUUGAAAAUAUUUAGCCCUUUUUUUUUUUUUUAAAUGGCUGCACUUGUAGCAUAUGGAAGUUCCCAGGCCAGAGACUGAAUUCAGGCUGCAGCUGUGACCCACACCACAGCUGCAGCAAUGCUGGAUUCUUUAACCCACUGUGCCAGGCCAAAGAUUGAACCCAUGCCUUUUUAGCAAACUGAACUGCUGCAGAUGGAUUCUUAACCCGCUGCACCAGAGCAGGAACUCCUAGCUCUUGUUCUUGAUUGAUGUUUUAGUUGUGAAUGAAAAUCUGGAUUAGCACUUACUUCCCUCUAAGCAUUGUUUUUUUUUUUUUUUUUCCUUUGGCCACACCUGUGGCAUGUGGAGGUUCACAGGCCAGGGACUGAACCCAUGCCACAGCAGUGACCUGAGCCACUGCAGUGACAAUGCCGAAUCCUUAACCUACUGCACCACAAGUGAACUCCCUCCUCAGCAAUUUUAAGAUGUUAUUCCAUUCUGUUUUCUGCCAUAUAAUCAGACCUAAAAGAUUGUACCGGAUGUUUUAUUAUAGUAAUAUUUUAGUUUUGUUGUUAGUAUAAAAUUGUCUUUUGGAUGGAGGUAUUCACAGUAGCUUUUCUUUUUAUUUCUGUUUUUUUUUGCCUUUUUUAGGGCUGCACCCACAGCAUAUGGAGGUUCCCAGGCUAGGGGUCGAAUUGGAAGAGUUGCAGCUGCCAGCCUGUACCAAGCCAUAGCAACGUAGGAUCUGAGCCUCAUCUUCAUCCUACAGCUUGUGGCAAAGACAGGUCUUUAACCCACUGAGUGAAGCCAGGGAUGGAACCUGCAUCCUCAUGGAUAUUAGAGGGGUUUGUUAUACUGAGCCACAACAGGAACUCCCAUCUAUUUUAAUUUUUGUAUUCACUGAAUGAUUAAUGAAGAUCUUAGGAAUGUCAAAGGGAUCAGUAAAAUAAGCCUUUAAUAAAUUUCUUUUAGUUGUUUGUGUGUAUAAUUAUUACUAAAAUAUUUGAUUACCUUUUCUGUAUCACCACUGAAGAUAAAUAAAUUAAUUAUUGUUCCUGUAAUCAUAAUGCUCCAUUCUGGUCAGGGGAGACAGACAUAUUAGGGUGACCUCAUAAUUUGUUAUACAGACUGGGCUGCUUUUGAAAGUGAGAAGAAGCUGUUUUAAUAAUUAUCUUGGGAGUUCCAUCGUGGCUCAGUGGAAACAAAUCUGACUAGUAUCCAUGAGGACGCAGGUUUGAUCCCUGGCCUAGCUCAAUUGGUUAAGGAUCCAGAGUUGCCCUGAGCUGUGGUAUAGGUCAUAGAUGUGGCUUGGAUCUGGCGUUGCUGUGGCUGUGGUGUAGGCUGGCAGCUACAGCUCCAGUUCAACUCCUAACAUGGGAACCUCCAUAUGCCAUGGGUGUGGCCCUGAAAAGACAAAAAAAAAAAAAAAAA